CAGGUGCCUGUCAGCCCUGUGAAGGCCUCCACAAACAGUGCCUGUAGCUGCAGCAGUUGCAUCAGCUUUGCUCUUACACACAAGGAAGAAAGGAAUGGGCAUUUUAUAUUCUGAGUCAAGGUGCUGUUGAUAUGACAACCCUGAGGAAAACUCCAUGUCUAAGUAUAUCACGUGUUGUAUGUCCCCUUGCUCCAGUUAGCUGAGGCAGGAAGCGUGAGGAAAGCAGUAACUGUGGGAAGCUGCAGUUUGUCAUGCAGUGAUUCUUUCUUCAUUGCACGUAUUAUCAACUGUUUACCUGCAAUGGAGGAAUGUGCCAGUUACGGACCAUUCAGGGUUUUUCUGCACUGAUAUUGCCUACUUGGGAUAAUCCAAAAAAAGAACAGAAAAUCAGAACAAUGUUGGAAAGGCCCAGCUAAGAGAAACACCUGAAUUUCUAUGGAUGUUUGACAGUCAGAGGAGGUACCUUAACGUGAAGGAGGCCCAGACUACUGAUGACUAAUACAAAUUCAAUUUCAAUAA